rnacentral:rRNA from 1 species
AUGGUGGCAGAGAGCCCUCACAGGGCUCAUCUCCAGCAGCUGUUCGGGGAUCUUAAGACUGCUUUCUACGAAGCUGAAGACAUCUUGGAUGAUAUUGAUUAUCAUCGCCUCGAGAAACAGGUCCAAGAUUACGAGCUCAACUCAGACGAGCCUCCAUGUAGGGUGAAUUUGCUGAAGCACAAGAUCCAGUCCAUCGCCGUUUCCCCCCUAACAAAUAAGGAGACUGGUAUGUCAAAAAAUCAACUAAAGCAGAGCCUAGAGAAAAUAGAAAAGAUUAUAAAUGAAGCACACCAAAUUUUGAAAUGGCUGAACCUGCCCGGUGCAAGUAAGGGUGAUGAGAGACAACCUAUUGCAGCCAAUGCGCGUACCACUGCAACUUCCACAGUGAAGGUAAUUGGUCGAGAUGAGGAUCGUGACAAGAUCGUAGAAAUGCUUCAUGAGAAGGCAGGUCAUGGCCGGACAAACAGGAAUAGCGGUCUAUGUUAUUCUGUUGUUGGAGUUCAUGGCAUUGGCGGAUCUGGGAAGUCAACCCUUGCACAAUUGGUUUAUGCCGAGGAGGAAAAGGACAAGCUAGCCGAAAAAGAUGGCCAUUUUGACAUACUAUUAUGGAUCCAUGUCUCUAAAAGUUUUUGUAUCGAGGACAUUCACAGGCACAUGGUUGAGGCAAUUACAGGAUGUGAUCGUGAUGGACUCUAUAACCAUACAACAGACUUAAGUCUUGAUAUGCUACAAAGCUCAUUGAAAAAUAACCUGAGUGGCAAAAGGUUUUUCUUGGUACUAGAUGAUGUCUGGUGCAACAAGGAUGUUGGUGAGCAGAAUCUGCCACAAUUACUUUCUUCAUUCAAGGUUGGAAAGAGAGGAAGCAAGAUCCUAGCGACAAGUCGAAAUGUAGAUGCCUUCUCUGAUCUUGGUCCUGAUGUGAGAUGUGCCAAUUUUCCAAUUAGUGACUUGGAUGAUAGUAUGUUCCUUGAGCUAUUCAUGUAUUAUGCACUUGGAGAUUGGAAUGCAAACAAUGGAGCUGGGAGCACACUCUGGAAUAUUGGGGCCCACAUUGCAGAAAAGCUUAAGAGGUCACCUCUAGCAGCCAGUACAGUGGGAGGACAACUACGUACAAGAAAAAUGUUGAGUUAUGGAGAAGAGCUAGGGAUCAGGACUUAUUGA